rnacentral:rRNA from 1 species
ACUCAAAUGAAUAGACGGGGGCCCGCACAAGCGGUGGAACAUGUGGUUUAAUUCGAUGCAACGCGAAGAACCUUACCUACUCUUGACAUCCUCGGAAUUCUCUGGAAACAGAGAAGUGCCUUCGGGAACCGAGAGACAGGUGCUGCAUGGCUGUCGUCAGCUCGUGUCGUGAGAUGUUGGGUUAAGUCCCGUAACGAGCGCAACCCUUACCCUUAGUUGCCAGCGGUUCGGCCGGGAACUCUAAGGGGACUGCCGGUGAUAAACCGGAGGAAGGCGGGGACGAUGUCAAGUCAUCAUGGCCCUUACGAGUAGGGCUACACACGUGUUACAAUGGGCAGUACAAAGGGUUGCCAAGCCGCAAGGUGGAGCUAAUCUCAGAAAGCUGCUCUUAGUCCGGAUUGGAGUCUGCAACUCGACUCCAUGAAGUUGGAAUCGCUAGUAAUCGCGGAUCAGCAUGCCGCGGUGAAUACGUUCUCGGGCCUUGUACACACCGCCCGU